UUGAGAACGACAGCGACUUCCGUCCCAGCCGUGCCAGGUGCUGCCUCAGAUUCAGGUUAUGCCGCUCAAUUCGCUGCGUAUAUCGCUUGCUGAUUACGUGCAGCUUUCCCUUCAGGCGGGAUUCAUACAGCGGCCAGUCAUCCGUCAUCCAUAUCACCACGUCAAAGGGUGACAGCAGGCUCAUAAGACGCCCCAGCGUCGCCAUAGUGCGUUCACCGAAUACGUGCGCAACAACCGUCUUCCGGAGCCUGUCAUACGCGUAAAACAGCCAGCGCUGGCGCGAUUUAGCCCCGACAUAGCCCCACUGUUCGUCCAUUUCCGCGCAGACGAUGACGUCACUGCCUGGCUGUAUGCGCGAGGUUACCGACUGCGGCCUGAGUUUUUUAAGUGACGUAAAAUCGUGUUGAGGCCAACGCCCAUAAUGCGGGCAGUAGCCCGGCAUCCAACGCCAUUCAUGGCCAUAUCAAUGAUUUUCUGGUGCGUACCGGGUUGAGAAGCGGUGUAAGUGAACUGCAGUUGCCAUGUUUUACGGCAGUGAGAGCAGAGAUAGCGCUGAUGUCCGGCGGUGCUUUUGCCGUUA
rnacentral:rRNA from 1 species